rnacentral:rRNA from 1 species
UUCGCCCUUAGAGUUUGAUCCUGGCUCAGAACGAACGCUGGCGGCAUGCCUAACACAUGCAAGUCGAACGAGACCUUCGGGUCUAGUGGCGCACGGGUGCGUAACGCGUGGGAAUCUGCAUUUUGCUUACUAAUAACACUAAAAAAUGACUGCUAAUACCGGAUGAUGCCCUCGGACCAAAUAUUUAUCGACGAAGGAUGAGCCCUCAUACGAUGACGUAGUUGGCGGAGUAAAGGACUACCAAACCUACUAUCCUUACCUGGUAAGACAGAAUAAUCAUCCCUACCGGGACAGAAACACGGCUGAUACUCCUAAGGGAGGCAGAGCUGAGUAACAUUGUACAGUGCGUAAAAUCCCGAGCAAAAAAUCUUUCCUAAGUGAAGAACGUCUUCAGUCACUCAAGCUCUUUGGAUCAGGAUGAUAAUCCAUUGUACCUGAAUAAUAACUGCUGGCUAACUCAGUG